AGAGCGGUAUCGUAAAGCCUGGUGACCCCGGUCACUCGUAGAGUGUCCUAGCCUUCGCUGAAAUGCGGCGGGAAAUAUUGAAAUCAAGGCCCAGGGUGAGCUGCUCG
rfam:Chloroflexi bacterium 44-23 SCNpilot_bf_inoc_scaffold_52, whole genome shotgun sequence.